UCUCAAUACCUCAACCAGAACCCAAGGGCCUCCCUCUCCAGCCUUUGAGGAAGUACCUCUUUUUCAUAACUCUUCAGGGAAUUUCCCCUGCUAUUUCACUUCCUCUGGUUCAGCAUCCUGUGACCAGAUCAUUCAAAUUUCUUCCCCAACCUUUGCUCUGCCCGGGUUCUUUUUCUGGUGCAAUGGUACCCUGACAAAAAACCUAAGUCUCAACAUGCCCUUGGCUUUUUGUGUUCCUUCCACCUUGGUCCCCAAUCAACUGUACAGUGAGGAUGAAUUAAAGUGGCUUGUCACCACCUCCCUUUCCAGGGCAAGACAGCUUGUCUUUCCACCAGUAGUAAGUAGUUGGACUCUCCCUGGCCUCCUCCCUCGCUGCCUCUGGACUUGGUUAUGCAGUAACCACCACUCAGAAUCUUGAACAACAACUUCAGAAAGUGGGAGAGGCAUUGGCCGCCUCUCUCGCUUCCAUACAAAGGCAAAUGACAUGUAUUACCCAAGUUUCAUUAGAGAGCCAUUGAGCCCUUGAUCUCCUAACAAAGACAAAGGAGAAACCUGUCUAUUCCUGAAAGAAGAAGGCUGCUGCUACAUCAAUGAAACUGGAUUGGUUGAAUAGAAUGUCGACACCCUCCAUCAUUUGGGUGAAAGGUUUAAACAGCAGCCAGCAAAUGACCCCUGGCCAGGCUGGCUAAACUCACCCUCAUUGCGUGGCUGACUCCCAUUCUCACUCCUAUGUUAGUAAUAGAACUUCUAUUAAUGAUUGCUCCCUUCCUCCUCAGUUUCCCCUGAAAGCACGUGGGUGAAAUUGCCAGAGUGACCUACAACCAGAUGCCCCUACACCCCUACAGUCACCUCCCCACUGAACCGAUACCCAAGCCACCCCCUUCCUCCCAGAGCCCCUAGCCAGCAGGAAG
rnacentral:lncRNA from 1 species